rnacentral:rRNA from 1 species
AUGCUCAUGCAACCGUGUGUGUUUCUUCACCCUGCUGUCCGAUUUCGACAAAAUGUGCUCCAACUCAAACACCACAAAUCAAAACUUCUUUCGGAUCGACGACUCCCGAGACAGAGGAUCUGUGGCUGCUCUGCUACGAUUGGAAAGAAACUAACAAAGGGCAGCGACAAUGUUUCCUAUUGCUAUCUAUCCACUGCCGCCAAAUCAUUCCUUGAAUGGAGUCAAGUUGCUUCGCACAAAGAGAAAAAGAAAAACAGUGAGCGCUUAGAAGAGAGAAUUUGGCCGGCCUCACUAUACCCAAUCUAA